rnacentral:rRNA from 1 species
GACGAACGCUGGCGGCGUGCUUAACACAUGCAAGUCGAACGGAAAGGCCCUGCUUUUGUGGGGUGCUCGAGUGGCGAACGGGUGAGUAACACGUGAGUAUCCUUCCCUUGACUUUGGGAUAACUUCAGGAAACUGGGGCUAAUACCGGAUAGGAGCUCCUGCUGCAUGGUGGGGGUUGGAAAGUUUCGGCGGUUGGGGAUGGACUCGCGGCUUAUCAGCUUGUUGGUUGGGUAGUGGCUUACCAAGGCUUUGACGGGUAGCCGGCCGGAGAGGGUGACCGGCCACAUUGGGACUGGGAUACGGCCCAGACUCCUACGGGAGGCAGCAGUGGGGAAUAUUGCACAAUGGGCGGAAGCCUGAUGCAGCAACGCCGCGUGCGGGAUGACGGCCUUCGGGUUGUAAACCGCUUUCGCCUGUGACGAAGCGUGAGUGACGGUAAUGGGUAAAGAAGCACCGGCUAACUACGUGCCAGCAGCCGCGGUAAUAC